UAAUAAUCUCACAGCACAACACAAAACAACACAACUUGUGUCCGCAAUUCAAUGUUCCGCAAUUCAUUCAUUCAACUCAUUCAAUUCAAACUUCAAAGCAAAACUCCCAUAGUUCUUACAAAAAGCACAAAUUUUCACACACCUUCUUUCUUCUUCCCCUAAAUUUUUUCCAUUUCCGCUCCCAAAUCAAAUCACCAUGGCAUCUUCCAAGGAGAGAGAACACAAUACAGCAUGCCCAAGAGCACGCUCUCACUUGUAACUCGUAGCCACCACCACAGCACCUGAAAAACAAAAACUUUCCUUUCUGUUCCAAACUUAACGCACUGCACUGCCGUUGACUACUUUAAAGGUUUGUUUUUUGGGUGACCCGACAGAGAACAAUGGCGGCGAAAUCGAGUUCGAGUUCGACAAACGUGACGGUGAAAGCAGCGUGGGUUCUGCCGCACCGGACGCAGAACAUCCGGGAGGUGUACGAGGUGGGUAGGAAACUGGGGCAGGGGCAGUUCGGGACGACGUUCCUGUGCACGCACCGGACGACUGGGGGAAAGUUCGCGUGCAAGUCGAUUCCGAAGCGGAAGCUUCUGUGCAAGGAGGAUUACGAGGACGUGUGGCGGGAGAUUCAGAUUAUGCACCACUUGUCGGAGCACGCCAACGUGGUUCGCAUCGAGGGUGCGUACGAGGACUCUUCCGCCGUGCACCUCGUGAUGGAGCUCUGCGAGGGUGGCGAGCUCUUCGACCGGAUCGUCCAGAAGGGCCACUACAGUGAGAGACAGGCGGCGAGGUUGAUAAAGACCAUUGUUGAGGUUGUCGAGGCUUGUCACUCGCUUGGAGUCAUGCACAGGGACCUCAAGCCCGAGAACUUUCUCUUUGAUACUGUUGACGAGGAUGCCAAGCUAAAAGCUACCGACUUCGGGUUGUCCGUUUUUUACAAGCCUGGUGAAUCAUUUUGUGACGUUGUCGGGAGCCCAUACUAUGUUGCACCAGAGGUCUUGCGCAAGCUCUAUGGGCCUGAAUCAGAUGUGUGGAGUGCAGGGGUUAUUCUGUACAUUUUGUUAAGUGGGGUGCCACCAUUUUGGGCUGAAACUGAACCCGGGAUCUUCAAACAGAUUUUAUUGGGAAAACUUGAUUUUCAAUCUGAGCCUUGGCCUAGCAUUUCAGACAGUGCCAAGGAUCUAAUUCGGAAAAUGCUUGAUCAAAAUCCAAAAACCAGGCUUACAGCACAUGAAGUACUCCGUCACCCAUGGAUUGUUGAUGACAGCAUUGCACCGGAUAAACCUCUAGAUUCUGCAGUUUUAUCACGCCUGAAACAGUUCUCUGCAAUGAAUAAACUGAAAAAGAUGGCAUUGCGGGCCAAGGGUAUUGGAGCCGGAAAAAGCUACAUGGUUGGAAUCAAAUCAAACAAUUGGAUUAUGUCCCAAUGGAUUUCUCAACAGCUAUCAUUGCCUCAUCCUUAUUCUUACAUGAUUUUCAUAUCUAUGAGCCUUAAAAUUGGAAGACAAGGUUCAGUUCUGAAGGAACUUGAACCAUUCUUUGCUGGAAGUUUUGGCUUUGCUUCAAGUAGGAAAUACCAAGGUUAUUGCCGAGAGGCUGUCUGAAGAAGAAAUUGGUGGCCUGAAAGAGUUAUUCAAGAUGAUUGACACCGACAACAGUGGAUCCAUAACGUUUGAUGAGUUAAAAGACGGCUUGAAGCGAGUAGGAUCUGAACUCAUGGAGUCUGAAAUCAAGGAUCUUAUGGAUGCUGCAGAUAUUGAUAAAAGUGGAACAAUUGAUUAUGGUGAAUUCAUUGCCGCCACUGUUCAUUUAAACAAGCUGGAGAGAGAGGAAAACCUGGUGUCAGCCUUCUCCUAUUUUGACAAGGAUGGUAGUGGUUACAUAACCCUUGAUGAGAUACAACAAGCUUGUAAGGACUUUGGUUUAGAUGAUGUUCACAUUGAUGACAUGAUCAAGGAAAUUGACCAAGACAAUGAUGGGCAAAUAGAUUAUGGGGAAUUCACUGCCAUGAUGAGAAAGGGCAAUGGAGGAAUUGGAAGAAGAACUAUGAGAAAAACACUGAAUUUAAGAGAUGCUUUUGGGUUAGUAGACAAUGGGUCCAAUCAAGUUAUUGAGGGCUACUUUAAGUAACUUCUUGGAGACAAAAUUCACAAAAAAAAUAAGUUUUUACCUUGUUUGUAGCUUCUUGACCAAAUUUUGCUUAUCUAUUAAAAGACCCAUCUUUUCUUGAAA